rnacentral:lncRNA from 1 species
UGUAAUCAAAAUUUUAAUGUCGUGAACAAAAUUGCGAUCGCAGACGGUAAUGCAAAUGUUACAUAAGAAGCAAUUCAACAAUUCAAUCAAAUUUGUAAAAUUUUAGUUUUACCAAGACCACACAUGAGGUUUAGAAAUUCAUUCAUUAUUUCAAAGACCAAAAAUUACACCAAAGAAGCAAUUAGGAUUAUGAGGAAAAAUAGUGCUUAUAAGAGAUUUAUAUAUUAUCUCUUUACAUAACUUAACAUCUAUUUUUUUAAAUCUAAUUAACAACUAUUUCAUUCAACUUUAUUCUAUGAUAUAUCAUCAAUCCAAACAUAAUCUUAACGCUACAUAAGACCUUCAAAUUUGUGUUAGUCUUCGAGCUGAUUAACACAUAUGUUUUUCAUAUGCUACAAAAGUUAGCAUGGGUAUAUAUAUAUAUAUAUAUAAAUCUUACUGCUGAAUAAAAUUUCUACAGUAGUACAACAUUAAGUAACAUGUCUCUAAAACUCAAAACAAAAAAGGAAAAAUAUUUCUGCUGAAGAAGAGUUCUAGAGUACAAGUACUCUACAAAAACAUUAAUUAGUUAUUCUUCAAUCAUCAUCACUGUCCAACCAAACCUUUAACAUGCAAUUGAUCUGUUCUCUUUUCAGCUAUAAAUCUUGAAGCAGCUUCAUUGCAAGUGAUUUCUUCUACAUUUGUGUGUACCACUUUUGUAGCACCAUAAGUUGGAUAAAAUUUAUAUUGGCAGAGAUUUUGUGUUGCUGGAGGGUUUGAAGUAUUGCCAAAACUUUUUUGCCUUCCAAAGAAUUUUUCUAUCUCAUAUCCAAUCUUAGCAAUAGCAUACUCUGCUUGAGGUGCCAUAUAUUUUUUUUUUCUUUCUCAAAGUGGUUUCUAUAUGGUUUUGUUUUUUGUUUCUAUUGUUUUUUGAGUAUAAAACUUGAAGGGUAUGGUUAUAUAUUUAUAUAGGUCCAUAAUAAUGUAUAGAUAGUAUAGUAGUGCAUCUUUUCACAUAGGGACCGAAUAUGUUAGUUGGACUAAUAAUUUUAUUAGAGCAUCACGAAAGUUG